AUUGAACGCUGGCGGCAGGCCUAACACAUGCAAGUCGAGCGGAUGAAGGGAGCUUGCUCCUGGAUUCAGCGGCGGACGGGUGAGUAAUGCCUAGGAAUCUGCCUGGUAGUGGGGGAUAACGUCCGGAAACGGGCGCUAAUACCGCAUACGUCCUGAGGGAGAAAGUGGGGGAUCUUCGGACCUCACGCUAUCAGAUGAGCCUAGGUCGGAUUAGCUAGUUGGUGGGGUAAAGGCGUACCAAGGCGACGAUCCGUAACUGGUCUGAGAGGAUGAUCAGUCACACUGGAACUGAGACACGGUCCAGACUCCUACGGGAGGCAGCAGUGGGGAAUAUUGGACAAUGGGCGAAAGCCUGAUCCAGCCACGCCGCGUGUGUGAAGAAGGUCUUCGGAUUGUAAAGCACUGUUAGUUGGGAGGAAGGGCAGUAAGUGAAUACCUUGCUGUUUUGACGUUACCAACAGAAUAAGCACCGGCUAACUUCGUG
rnacentral:rRNA from 1 species